AUUGAACGCUGGCGGCAGGCUUAACACAUGCAAGUCGAGCGAGCGGCGGACGGGUGAGUCAUGUCUGGGAAACUGCCUGAUGGAGGGGGAUAACUACUGGAAACGGUAGCUAAUACCGCAUACCAUCAGAUGUGCCAAGAGGGGAUUAGCUAGUAGGUGGGGUAAUGGCUCACCGAGGCGACGAUCCCUAGCUGGUCUGAGAGGAUGACCGGCCACACUGGAACUGAGACACGGUCCAGACUCCUACGGGAGGCAGCAGUGGGGAAUAUUGCGCAAUGGGCGAAAGCCUGACGCAGCCAUGCCGCGUGUGUGAAGAAGGCCUUCGGGUUGUAAAGCACUUUCAGCGGGGAGGCGUUACUCGCAGAGGAAGCACCGGCUAACUCCGUGCCAGCAGCCGCGGUAAUAC
rnacentral:rRNA from 1 species